CAGACGGGCCGACCCGUCCUGGGCUACGGAUCAGACGCCAGCUAAUCCACCGGAAGAUUCGUUCCCCUCUGCCCCCCUCUCAUUAUCUUCCUCAACCUCGUCGGCAGGAAGCAGAUCGGGAUUCGGGAACGAUGACUACCUCAUCUUCUUCAUCCCAGCCGGACGAGGUACUCCCGCUGAUUCCUUGCCCAACCUUCAUCUCCCAAGGCGGACCACGCUUCUACAAGUGCGUCAGAAAAGAUGCUGGGUUGUGUCAGUUUUUGAGAUCCACGGACACCUACCUGCCGGAGCUCACUCGCCACGACUUGUCCCAGCCCCAGCCGUACGUGCUGCACCAGCCUCUAGCCGUGCACCCAUCCGCUUCCCUUCACCAGAGAUACAGGCGCGAUCACAAUUUCGCGGACGGCGGCAGCCGAGCAGAGAUCCAACCAGCUCAUGGACGUCCCCAGCCACAGCUUCAGCCGUAUCUUAAAAAUAUCAGUGUGUAGUCAUUGUUAUCUCUGAACGUUCUCUCACUCCACAAGGUAGUCGUUGGUUUUU